GAUCCGCCCCCGCUCCACAGUAGAGAUCAAUUCUAGAACGUGGUCAGCUUCAUUGGUGCAGGUAGUCAGGCUCAUGGGAUCAGGUGUUUUACCAGCUGAAAUUAUGGUGUUCUGUAGGCUACAAUAGAAGUGGAAAAUACUUUGAAGCAGUAAUUAUAUGUAAACUAUAAUUGCUGUUUUAAAAGGUGACAACAGGGAUAGUGUGUGAACAUUGUGAUCUUCGGUGUCUGAGUUCGGACGUCUGCACUCAUUGUUAAACAGAGUGUAGAAACUGAUUUGCAAUUCUAAAUCAGUACAUACAUUUCGCUCACUUAAAAUACAAUAUAAACUAUAAUCUUUAAAUAUUACGUGAAAAGAGCACAAGCGCGACCGUGACAAUUAUAAAAGCUUCAUAACCCGCCCCCAUCACUGCGUGAGGUUGCGUGCGCGGGUGUUUAGAGGCGGUAUCUUACAAUUGUUUGCAUUUUAGAGGUAAAUACCCGACACGAUAGUCAGCUAACAGCAAAUCAUUUGAUCUAGGGCCUGCAACACCGCCGACAUGAUUUAGUGAUAUCUGAAGAAUGAAUGCGUAAAAGACGUCGAAUGUCAAUGGAUAAAAACGAAAAGUAAAAAUGGAGCAAGUAAGACGGACCAAUUAACUUUAGAGCUCUAAGGGCAAAGUUUCAAGAGGAAGCAGCUCUGGCCCAAUCCAUGAACAGACCUGCUAUUGCUCAGAAGCCAAUACGCCUACCACCCCCUGGAGGUCACUGUGGACCUCUGGUGACCUCCAUGCAUUCGGCAGUGGAGAACAAGACACCUGUGGUCCCCCGGGUCAUUUUUAGGGAUGGAACCAAAGGUUUUCUGGGCAAACGCCCCAUCUCUUUCCCCCCACACUUCCUUCGCACCUCCCCUCCACAACAGAAUGUUGGAUUGGAGAGCACAUCGAAGCAGUCCUUCAGAGACAGACACAUGCCUCUAGUGCUGCCUGUACUGCCUAAAGAGAAGAAAACUGACACAGACUAUUUAGAAGGAGCACCGCACCCAAUGAAGGGCAACAAGAGGGACAUUCUGCUUCCCUUCAAUUCGACCAAAGCCUUUAAUGUUGUUGAGGAAACAAGCAAAGAUCAAGUAUGUGCUGAGCCUACCACCAAAACUCUGGGGGAGGAGAAACAGAAAACAGAAGAUGGAGUCUCUCCUCAUGGGGACCGUUCCACCACAGAAAGGCCACCUUCCAGUCCAGACCAGACCGUCACCCCCCCGUUUGCUGAUCCAGGUGGGGACUCUUUACCUGGGGCUGGGGGAACCCAGUUCUUCGACCAACUGUACUCACUGGAGAAAGUUAGGAAAAGGUUUUUGCCCCGGAAACUUUUGUUGUCUACUCGGUCUAAGAGCUUGCGGUCCAAUGGAGUCCUCCUCCCAGAGAGUAACUCUGUUGUGACGGGGAAACAUCCUGAGGCGGAACUCCCUCACCCUCAUCCAGUCUGUCUCCCACACAUUGCCUUUGUUGCCGCCCGUCCUUUUUCAAAGAUGAACGGCUAUUCACACAGUAAGAUAGGACGAGAAACUACUUUCAAAAGACAGUCUUCCCGGGAUCCUGUGGCUCUUCUGCCUGUGAUGUCUCAUGAACCUCCCCCUCAACCUCCAAGAAAGCCUCUACCUGUCUUGGCCUGUUCAGAGUAUUUACCAGUGAAGCCUCCAAGACCACCAUGCGUAGAUCUCAGCCAAUACCAGCUAACCACGGCUAUGGACAAAGAAAUUCCACCAGAAGUUGAGCAUGUUGCAUUUCACAAAUCUGAGCCCAAGGAGUCAUCUAUCAUCAAGCCUGAUCUUCAUGCUCCAGAAUUUCCAGACUUUGAAAAUUCAGAGGUGGAAAAUAUAGAAGACACCACUCUUGGUAUAACUUCUCUGGAAUUUGAGUCCAAAGAUCAUGGAAGCCCUGAAAUUCCAGCUCCACUUGGCUUUGGAAUUCUAGAUUUUGAAGACUUGCCGGUGUGUGAGACUUUGGAACUGGCAAGUUUAGAUCUGCAGGCAUUGAGCCUUAACAACUACAACUUGAUGUGUCCAGAUCCUCCAAUCCUGCCAGAACCUCCAUUCCUCCAUGACACUGAAAUCCUUCCUAAACCUUUGGUUCUUCCACAUUCACCAGUCCUUGAGGUCGAGGUUAAAAAUGAGGCAUUCCCAUCUCCUGUUCUAGAGCCUGAAAUGGUUGGCGCUGAGCUUGUGUCUGAUGAGCCUUCAGCCACUGAGUCAUCAGAUCAUGGUUCAGAGCAUGUCUUGAUUGGGCAAGUUCAACCACAGCCAAAUGUCUGUCAAGAAGAGAAUUACUACGAAGCCUGUAACAAUGUGUACGAGGAUGUUGAAAACAUCAACAAGUUCAUCACCGGUCAGAACUCCCGCAAGCGCAGAAGCAGUCCAAAGAAUCCAUAUGCUGUUUCCCAUCCAGAGAAGGAAGAACUUCGCAUGAAUCUUCGGCCUCGGCAUGCACGGUCUAGUAUUCCUAGACAACACAGUCUUUCAAAUCAUGCACAUGUACACAGUAAAGAGCGACAUUGUCUUGAGAACCAUGAUGACAAAGAGCAGAAGAAGAAAGAGAAGCACCGUCUUGAAAAGGAGAGGAAGGAACUAAAGGAGAGGGAAAAGAAAGAAAAUGAAAUGAAGAAGAAGUUCAAAAUAACUGGGAAGGAGGAGCCUUUGUACCACGCUAAGGUAAUGGUGGCUAGUAAGGUCCGCAAGAACGACCUGCUGGUGAAGAGCGGUGAAACAGUCAGCAUCAUCCGAACCACCAGCUGUCCCAAAGGCAAAUGGCUGGCCAGAGACAACAACCACAAGUAUGGCUACAUAUCAGUGAUGAAUGUGGAGCUGAAUAUAAAGGAAAUGUUGGAACUGGGGAAGAAGGCCUCUCAGGCUGCAGGAAGAGCUGCUCCAGAAGGAGAUAGCAUCAGCAUCGAGAGCAGAUCUUUUAAUCAUCCCCCCUUGCACACUAGCAGUUUCACAGAUGACAGUGAGGAGUGGACAGGUGAGGAUGAGACCCUGUCCAUUUCCAACACUGAAAGCCGCACUCACAACCGGACCAUCUCCAUGCCUGAGAUGCUAGUCUCUGCCCAUGCCAGUGCCCAGCAUAUUGUCAGUGAUCCCAUCCUUGAGGACCAACAUACACAACAUGAGGCUCUCCAGAAGUUAGCCGUCUUCUUUCAGCACAAAAAAGACAACUUCAGUGACCUUGCCGAAAAUGGAGAGCAAACCUGCACAAACAAAAACCCAAGUAAGUCCACAUCACUGAUUGUUCUGUGUGUAUGUCACCGUUUGGUGUGCACACGCUUGCAUGCACUCAAACACGGCACACUCAAAUGGUUCUAAGUCAGUCUUCAUUGGGUGAGGGAUGCGGCACAUACUGUAUGAAAUCCUAUUUGAUCAUUUAUGGUGUAUGUAAAGAUGAGUCAUGCAGUCUGCUCCUGUCCUUCUACAGGUUUCCCAUUUGCUGUUGAAGAACUGACUUACUUGGAUCAGGAGGUUGACUUCCCUGUGGAUGUGGCACUCCUCCCCCCUCCAGAGCUCUAUGCAGACACUCUAUGAUUAUUGGCAACUAGUCUGAGAGCUUCACAAAGGCAGAGCCAGUGAUGCAAGUAGGCUAAACCGUACACACACACAGAUCCCUCUCUCUCUACCUCAGUAAUGUAUAGUACCCCAGUGAUGUAUAGAUGCUUCUUUAUCAUUAAAGAUGAACACUUUCUUUGGUAAGAUAAGAUGUUCACAACGCUAUGAGGAAGGUCUUUCCAGAAUGUUCUGUGUGAUUGAUAGUAACUUUGUAGUCCUACCUGUGAUGUACUUGACAUGAUGUCUUUGGGAGUAAUAUUAGCUAUUGUGAACUGUAAACCUGUGGUUUUCUCCAGUGUUAAAGAUUUGUUUUGUGUGUUUCUGGAUGUUUGGUGAAGUUAUCCUAGUAGUAUUUUCAGUUGUACUGUUCUACACAGUUGUCUUGCCUCCAGUAGUGGGUCCCUGUUCAUGCACAAUGAGAUUUACCUGCACUAUACUGUAUAAGGACCAGUGUUUCGUCACCAUUCACUAGCACCUUGGUGGAAUUGUUAGCCUACAUGUUUUGUGGAUUGUUGGAUUGAUAACAUUUUCUGAGCUCUCUAGUACUUAAGUGUCGAUUUCAAUAAAUUCGUUUAA